UUUUUUUUUGCAUUCGUUUUACUUUAGCAGUCAACCAUUCCAUACAAUAUUACUUGGUAAAACCAUGAAAAUUAAAGGAAGGCACGUUUCCUCCCUCAAUGUACUGUCUAAUUGAGAAACAACUCUUUUAUCACUUACUCCUUCCUUUAAGCCACCUCACAGAAUUCAUGUGCGGAAAGAGAUUUUAACAGCUGUCAAGGGCCAAAAAGGACCAAAGUAAAUAGGAUUAUGAAAGAAGAAUUUAAAAUAUUUAUGGACAAAGAAAAGAAUCCAAAGGAAAAAUACAAGAGAGACAUGACAAAAAAGAAUCAGGAAUCCUGAUUUUCCUUCUGGUUUUACUGGAAGACAGAGGCACCUGCCAUAAUUUAGGCCUCAUUUGGACACCAAAUGCUAUUGAGUCUGACAAGAGCAGCAAUGCCUUUUAUCUCUUUGCAGUCUCUUCUACACUGGCCUACUUUCCAAAGAGACCAAAUACUGAAUAUUCUUUGUUUUAUUCCCUAAUCACACAAUCCUACAAUCUGCCUGCAGAUAAAUUCAGUAUCUACAAGAUUAUACCUUUUCAACUAUGAAUUUGAACCCACAAUCUGACACCAAAAGGAACUAUACAGAGUUAGGACCAAAUGGAAACAAAACAAAACAAAAAUAUCUAAUUGUCACUGGACAGCCCUAAACACACACAGUUCAUUUUCUAUCAUUCUCAUACUAUCUUUUAUCCCCCUCUAAAUGAUUAUUGAGGGCCAAGGGAAGAAAGUCUUAUUUUUCCUUUCAACCAACCAGAUACAUAAAUAAAUGCUUAGUGGUUAUUUCAUAUCAAAAAUCAGGAAAGUUCCAGAUCACAGAAAGGUUUUUAAAUGCUGGAUUUUAUGUGUCAAUGGAAAAAUGAAUUUGAGAAAAGAUAUUCAAAAGAAAAGGGGCUUUAACAAUUUAGAAGAAACUCAGCAACCAGGUCAAAUAUUUGAUUUAACCUUUAUGGUUAGAAAACCAAAUUUCUAUCCCUCAUGUAGUAAAUCCAUCCAAAUACGAAGCAAAAGAGACAACAAAGGAGCAGAAAUCCCUGAAGGAAUAAAAAGUGCCUUCAAGUGGGAAAAUGAGAUGAGGCAGCACCAGCCACCCCAAACCUUCUCACUAAAAUUUUUCUCUUGAGCCAUUUUCUCUGUUUUCAUCUUAAAAUUGUUUUAGAUUAGAAGUCCUGAAGGGGUAAUUUUUGCUUUCUUUCAGAGCACUCUCCUCUCCUGUAACUCCUAUUAACUCUGGCCCAUAAGGACCAAGCAGGGCACCAUUACCUUCAGAGAUACGGGCCCAGAAACGAGGUUCUCUUUCUGGUGAAUCUUUAUCUUAGACCCUGAGAUUAGGAAAGUUAAUCUCACUGUUUUUCCCUGGACUGGACUAUAAACUGUGCUUGUCAGACCUGAGCAAAGUGGAGAGCAGCGGUGAUCCACUCAUCCAUUGUGCAAACACAAGAGCAAACCAUGUGCUAGAAGCUGCUAGGAAAGAAGAUGAAUUACAGAUCCUACCUUCAGGGAUCUAAAUCUGGCAUGGAGGACAAGAAAUGCAUAAACAACUAUAAUUAUAAGAUGGAGCCAACUUUGUCCAAACCACCCAAUGCAGCCUUCCAGCUGCAGGUACCUGCAUCUCUCUGCCUGAGGGCUUUCUCUCCAAGUCAGGGACAGCCACUUAACAGGCCGCAGGUAGCAGGAAAAUCCCCAGUUACAAUGACCAUGCAGAGAUGGUACAUGAGUACCCCAGCUUCCCUUCUUUUCAGGUGGGACAAUUUUAUAGCACCAAUGUUCUCCAAAAUAUGUUCUGUAGACCCAUGCCAGCAGCAUCAGCAUCAUCCAGGAAGCUUAUGAGAAAUACAGACUUUCAGGUCUCACUCCAGAUUAGAGUGUAACUCUACUCUAUAAUAAGGUCCCCAGGUGGGUCUCAUGCACGUUAAAAUUUGAAAAGCCCUGUGUGACACCAUCAACCAGAGCUUCUCCCCAGGCUUGAGCUCAAACUGCACACCUUGGCAGCUGAUUCUUAAAUGUACCUUUAAAAUGAUUUUUAAUGUACCUUUACUGGCUGCCUUCCCUCAGGUACCUCGCUUUUCCCCUGCCAACCAAGGCUUCCUGCACAUACCCAAUAAACAGAGACAUAUGGCAAAGAUAAAACGUCAUGAGAAUUCAAAAGAGACUCCGAGUAGUAGAGAGAUCAGAGCUGUUCAGGAAGAGGCAGCAGCUGCAAUGGCUUUGCACAGAGAGAGAUGAGAUGGAGCGGGGGGAGGAAGGGAGAGGCAUGGGGAGGGGAGGGGUGAAGAGAGAUAAUGGCAAACAGGUGAAGACGGAGAAGGGAAGGGAAAGCGUUAAUGCCCAAGAGUUUAGCCAGAGUGUCAGAUGCAGGAAAGCAAUCAGGGAAAAUAAGGCUAGAAAGGAAGGUAGGAUCAGAUGAACCUGACCUACAGACACAGAUCUGGCCUCUAUUUUGCAACUAAUGGUUUGAAGAGCAGAGACCCAAGGUAAGUAUAGUUUAAAAGUCACCUGAGAGCCAGAUGAAACUGUAGGGAGUGUGGGCAAUUUGUGUCUACACCAUCCCCCAUCAUCUGUCACUGAUGCAGGCUCAGCCCAAUGGGAAAGUGGGGGUUUGCCUGGACCACUCUGGAGAAAGAGAAGUAAUACUAUCUGAAGGAUAGAGAAGCGAAUGUUCUGUGUGUACAUAAUAAUGUCGACUGCAGCAACCAAAAUGUAUUACAGAAAGAGAAAAACAAUCAUAGGACCCCUGUGCAAGCACCUGGACAGGGAUUUGGUCCUUUCAGGGAGUUCACACAGCCAUCACCCCAUGAGGUGCAGUAUCCAUGCCAGGGGCCAGACUGAGAUGCCAAUACCCUGCCCUGGGGCACCCGUGUUAACCAAGCUGAGACCCUCAGGAAGUGAUGACAAAGUCAGGGGUCCCCAAGACCACCCCUGCGUUUGAGGGCUCACUUGGCAAACUCCAGAGGAUUCAGCACACAGUCAUCCUCAUGGCUAUGACUUAUUACAACAAAACAAGAUCAGCAAAGGGGAAAAGGAAUAUGGAGCCAAGUUUGAGGGAAACCAGGCCCAGGCUUUGGAAGGUCCUUUCCCACUGGAGUCACGCAGGAUGCACUUAAUUGUCCAGCGCCGAGUUGUAAUAAUACAUGUGAAAUGCCAUCCACCAAGGGAGCUCACCUGCGCCUAGGAGUCCAGGGUUUUUAAUCAGAGGGUCAGUCACAUAGGCACCAUCUGCUCAGCACCGGCCAAAAUUCCAGACUCCCCAAAGGAAGGCAGGUGUUCAACACAAACCACAUUGUUCAUGCAAACAGUUCAUGCACCACUCUACUCAGCUCGAAUGUAGUGAGAACUCUCUGGAAAUCCAAGCUCCCAGACACCAGUCAAGGGCCAAUCCUGUCCUUCCCAAGGACAGCAGCCAGACCUACUAUGUUGACCUCUUCCUGCAUGGGGUCACAAGACAUUCUUGGAGCUUGAGUUCUAAUGAUGCUACUGAUUUAAAGCGAGACAAACAGUCACAACAGGCAUUUUGGGGAAUUUGGGGCUGUUUGGGUAUGUUCAAUACAAGGACACAGGUCAUCAGUUCUACCUGCAUAAAUUUGUUCUAACCUGUCAGCUACUUUCAGGAAGUAGUAAGAUACAAAACAAAUUCAUUAUGUGUGUAUAAGAAAUGUAAUUACACAUCUCCAUCUGGCUGCAAUUAUAUCAGUAAAAAAGAAAUAUAUACCCCUGUCCCACAAGAUCCCAAUUCAUUAGAACUGUCUUCCUCCCCUGAAAUAUGGAACCAGCCAAAAAAUAAAAAUAAAGAAGUGCUGCUUUUCAAACACAAAAAAGUCUAUCUUAGAGGAAAAAACUCUACCAGACACUAAGGGAUAAACCUACCAUUGCUUUUUCCCCCAUUUCUCAGCACGUGUCUAAUUAGUACUGGGGGGAGAAAUCUGAAAUCUUACAACUAAAACAUUCUUAAGCAUCAAUUAAACUGAGAUAUAGUACUUUUCCCCGUUUGUUUUAUCAUGCUUUCGGAAACAAUGCUUAUCUGAGAUAUAGUACUUUUCCCCUUUUAUUUUAUCAUGCUUUCGGAAACAAUGCAAAUUUCUCCUGAAAUUUGCCUUUUGUAAAUUUACUGCAAAGUGAUGAUGGAAGUUGAGAUAUUUACAUAAUGUGUGCUAACUUAAAACUCUCUAGAGUAACAAAUAAAGCAAGGUUUGAGACAACCCUUCUAACUCACAAGGAGAAUAUUUUGCAAUGUAACACAUAAUUUUCUUAACCUCGGCGAUAUGGCCUUGGCUUGAUGGGGUAAAAGAUCAUAUGAGGUGACUGGAUGCAUUUCUUGGCCUGCCUGGAAUAAAUUUCAGUUCUCUGUUAGUGAGGUUUAGCACUGUGUGUAAUGUUAUUCCUCAUGAAAAUGAGAGAGAGGUGCCAAGCAUUCUUUGCCACCUGGAUUGUUGGGCUUGACCAGAGUAUUUCACCAGUGCAGAUUCUGCCCAUCCUACAGUCAGAACUAAAUUGACAUUCAGAGGCCAGACUGCAUUUGUACCUAAAAAGCACUGAUACAGAAACUAAGUCUUUCUGGUUUCAAGAUAUCCUAUUCAUCACCCAGGAACUAAAAGGAAAGGAACAAUCAUCAGGAAAACACGUGCAAUAAAAGAAUUAGUACUAAGAUCUGCCCUUAUCUUUCCUUUUUAGCUGGAAAAGAACACUUGAAAACAUACCAAAGAGCAAUCUAAAAGAUGAUCUUUUUUUUUUCAAACAAAGGACACUUGUGAAAAUGAAAACCUUGAGACCAAAAUAUCUAAUUUUAAUUAAAGAAAAAAAAUAAUUGUAUAAAUACAGAUUCUUUUUUUUUCUUUUGGCCACACCCACGGCACAUGGAAGUUCCUGGGUCAGUGAUCAAACCCACACCAGAGUAGUGACCCAAGCCACAUCAGUGACAAGGCCAAAUCCUAACCCACUAAGCCAUGAGGAAACUCCUAAAUACAGAUUCUAAUGCUGAUAAAUUUAUUCACCGCAUUCCCUUGCCCAGGCAAGCCACCCACUGGAAGAAGGGAAGACAUGAAAAAAAAAAAAAAAAAUCAAACAGCCUCUGCACCAUCUGAUUUACCAUGAGUUCUAAGAAUUUAUAUACAAGAACAUACAAAAAGGAUUGGAAAAAAGCACUCAUGUAGCAAUGCAUUAUUAAUUUCAAUUUCAACAGAUAUGAAUUACACCUCAUUUGCUCAAAGUAAAUGUCAGCACAACCCCAUUUUUUUUCCUUAAAAGGAAUGUUAAUCAUUGAAAUUACAGAAGAAGCACACUUACAAAAAGGGACACUCCUAAAACAGCACUUUGGUACAUCAAGGCUACUUCCACAUGCAAUCCUUACCUCGUGAGAGUCCACACAGCCUGGAACCCAGCCAUAAUUUAUCCCUACACAGUCAGCAUAUUUUUAAAACUGAGGUCUGGCUUCCAAGGCUGAAACCUCCAGAAAAAGCAUACAAUAUCUUGUUAACUAUGACUGGAUUUAGGACAGUGUGCCCUGUUGUAAAUCCAGGUAUGGAACAAUUUUAAAAGGUUUGUAGAAAGGCCAGUUUUUUUUAGGAUGGCUCUCAUUGGUAAGAGAGAAGGAAACAAAAAGGACAUGGGGCAUUUUAACAAGCUACAACAAUCGGGGCUUCAACAGAAUACAUUCUGGUAAAUUACCAAAUUAAUGAAGAAAUAAACUUCCUCCUAUAGCACUGCUUAUGAGGAAUAAACCUGUUUUUCCAACAAGAUGAGACCCACAACAGUGACAUUAAGGUGUGUUUGAGCAACAUGCAUACACAUGGGCAGGGAGAAAGAUUGCCC
rnacentral:lncRNA from 1 species